rnacentral:rRNA from 1 species
CAGAGGGUGCAAGCGUUAAUCGGAAUUACUGGGCGUAAAGCGCGCGUAGGCGGCUGUCUAAGUCGGGUGUGAAAGCCCCGGGCUCAACCUGGGAACUGCAUUCGAUACUGGACGGCUAGAGUAUGAAAGAGGGAGGUAGAAUUCCACGUGUAGCGGUGAAAUGCGUAGAUAUGUGGAGGAAUACCGGUGGCGAAGGCGGCCUCCUGGUUCAAUACUGACGCUGAGGUGCGAAAGCGGUGGGGAGCAAACAGGAUUAGAUACCCUGGUAGUCCACGCUGUAAACGAUGUCGACUAGCCGUUGGGGACCUUCGUGUCCUUGGUGGCGUAGCUAACGCGCUAAGUCGACCGCCUGGGGGAGUACGGUCGCAAGAUUA